rnacentral:rRNA from 1 species
UACGUAGGGUGCAAGCGUUAAUCGGAAUUACUGGGCGUAAAGCGUGCGCAGGCGGUUUUGUAAGUCUGAUGUGAAAUCCCCGGGCUCAACCUGGGAAUUGCAUUGGAGACUGCAAGGCUAGAAUCUGGCAGAGGGGGGUAGAAUUCCACGUGUAGCAGUGAAAUGCGUAGAGAUGUGGAGGAACACCGAUGGCGAAGGCAGCCCCCCUGGGUCAAGAUUGACGCUCAUGCACGAAAGCGUGGGGAGCAAACAGG